CGGUGAAGCCCAGCUUGCUGGGUGGAUCAGUGGCGAACGGGUGAGUAACACGUGAGCAACCUGCCCUCCACUUCGGGAUAAGCCUUGGAAACGGGGUCUAAUACCGGAUAUGAGCUCGCAUCGCAUGGUGUGGGUUGGAAAGUUUUUCGGUGGGGGAUGGGCUCGCGGCCUAUCAGCUUGUUGGUGGGGUGAUGGCCUACCAAGGCGUCGACGGGUAGCCGGCCUGAGAGGGCGACCGGCCACACUGGGACUGAGACACGGCCCAGACUCCUACGGGAGGCAGCAGUGGGGAAUAUUGCACAAUGGGCGCAAGCCUGAUGCAGCGACGCCGCGUGAGGGAUGACGGCCUUCGGGUUGUAAACCUCUUUCAGCAGGGAAGAAGCGCAAGUGACGGUACCUGCAGAAGAAGCGCCGGCUAACUACGUGCCAGCAGCCGCGGUAAUACGUAGGGCGCAAGCGUUGUCCGGAAUUAUUGGGCGUAAAGAGCUCGUAGGCGGUCUGUCGCGUCUGGUGUGAAAUCCCGAGGCUCAACCUCGGGCUUGCAUCGGGUACGGGCAGACUAGAGUGCGGUAGGGGAGACUGGAAUUCCUGGUGUAGCGGUGGAAUGCGCAGAUAUCAGGAGGAACACCGAUGGCGAAGGCAGGUCUCUGGGCCGCAACUGACGCUGAGGAGCGAAAGCAUGGGGAGCGAACAGGAUUAGAUACCCUGGUAGUCCAUGCCGUAAACGUUGGGCACUAGGUGUGGGGCUCAUUCCACGAGUUCCGUGCCGCAGCUAACGCAUUAAGUGCCCCGCCUGGGGAGUACGGCCGCAAGGCUAAAACUCAAAGGAAUUGACGGGGGCCCGCACAAGCGGCGGAGCAUGCGGAUUAAUUCGAUGCAACGCGAAGAACCUUACCAAGGCUUGACAUGUACGAGAAAGCCCCCGAGACGGGGUUCUCUUUGGACACUCGUACACAGGUGGUGCAUGGUUGUCGUCAGCUCGUGUCGUGAGAUGUUGGGUUAAGUCCCGCAACGAGCGCAACCCUCGUCCUAUGUUGCCAGCGGGUUAUGCCGGGGACUCAUGGGGGACUGCCGGGGUCAACUCGGAGGGAGGUGGGGAUGACGUCAAAUCAUCAUGCCCCUUAUGUCUUGGGCUUCACGCAUGCUACAAUGGCCGGUACAGAGGGCUGCGAUACCGUAAGGUGGAGCGAAUCCCAAAAAGCCGGUCUCAGUUCGGA
rnacentral:rRNA from 1 species